rnacentral:rRNA from 1 species
GACGAACGCUGGCGGCGUGCUUAAUACAUGCAAGUAGAACGCAGUUGCGAACGGGUGAGUAACGCGUAGGAACAUGCGUCAUAGCGGGGGAUAACUAUUGGAAACGAUAGCUAAUACCGCAUACUAUGAGAUGUACCUGCGUUGUAUUAGCUAGUUGGUGAGGUAAAGGCCCAGCAAGGCGACGAUACAUAGCCGACCUGAGAGGGUGAACGGCCACAAUGGGACUGAGACACGGCCCAGACUCCUACGGGAGGCAGCAGUAGGGAAUCUUCGGCAAUGGACGGAAGUCUGACCGAGCAACGCCGCGUGAGUGAAGACGGUUUUCGGAUUGUAAAGCUCUGUUGUUAGAGAAGCGGUAACUAAAUAGAAAGGGACGGCUAACUACGUGCCAGCAGCCGCGGUAAUAC